rnacentral:rRNA from 1 species
UUCUUCAACCAACGGAAUAAAGCUACGCUAGGGAUAACAGGCUUAUUCGCUCACAGAGUUUUAUCGACGAGCGCGGUUGGCACCUCGAUGUUGGAUCACCGCUUCCUGUAGCUGCAAACGGUUAUAAGGGUUAGACUGUUCGUCUGAUAAUGCGGUACGUGAUCUGAGUUCAAAGCGUCGUAAGACAGUUUGGUUUCUAUCUUUGUUAGCAUAAGUAUUACGGCGUUGUGUACAGUACGAAAGGAUUGUUGCACAAUUAACCAAUAGUUUAAAGAGCAACGUUAAUAAACCGGAAAACUUUUAACUGCACUGUGCAG